AUUGAACGCUGGCGGCAGGCCUAACACAUGCAAGUCGAGCGGAUGACGGGAGCUUGCUCCUUGAUUCAGCGGCGGACGGGUGAGUAAUGCCUAGGAAUCUGCCUGGUAGUGGGGGGCAACGUUUCGAAAGGAACGCUAAUACCGCAUACGUCCUACGGGAGAAAGCAGGGGACCUUCGGGCCUUGCGCUAUCAGAUGAGCCUAGGUCGGAUUAGCUAGUAGGUGAGGUAAUGGCUCACCUAGGCGACGAUCCGUAACUGGUCUGAGAGGAUGAUCAGUCACACUGGAACUGAGACACGGUCCAGACGCGUACGGGAGUCAGCAGUGGGGAAUAUUGGACAGUGGGCGAAAGCGUGAUCCAGCCAUGCCGCGUGUGUGAAGAAGGUCUUCGGAUUGUAAAGCACUUUAAGUUGGGAGGAAGGGUUGUACGUGAAUACCGUGCAAUUUUGACGUUACCGACAGAAUAAGCACCGGCUAACUCUGUGCCAGCCGCCGCCGUAACAC
rnacentral:rRNA from 1 species